GAUGAAGAACGUAGCGAAAUGCGAUAAGUAGUGUGAAUUGCAGAAUUUAGUGAAUCAUCGAAUCUUUGAACGCACAUUGCGCCCUAUAGUAUUCUGUAGGGCAUGCCUGUUCGAGCGUUAUUGAGACCUCAAGCUCUGCUUGGAAAUGGGCGCUUGUCUUGCCUUGCAGACUCGCCUUAAAACCAUUGGCAGCUGAUUCACAAUGUUUGGUGCACAGUACAUGAGCCCAAGUGUUGCAAUGAGUGGCCCAAAAGUAUACAAUAGAAGCUUAACCUCGGAUCAGGUAGGGAUACCCGCUGAACUUAAGCAUAUCAAUAAGCGGAGGA
rnacentral:misc_RNA from 1 species